rnacentral:rRNA from 1 species
UACGUAGGGUGCAGGCGUUGUCCGGAAUUAUUGGGCGUAAAGCGCACGUAGGCGGUUCGUUAAGUCGGAUGUGAAAGCCCUCGGCUCAACUAAGGAAGUGCACCCGAAACUGGCGAGCUUGAGUACGAAAGAGGAUCGCGGAAUUCCCGGUGUAGAGGUGAAAUUCGUAGAUAUCGGGAGGAACACCGGUGGCGAAGGCGGCGAUCUGGGUCGAUACUGACGCUGAGGUGCGAAAGCGUGGGGAGCAAACAGG